ACGGGUGAGUAAUAUAUCGGAACGUGCCCAGUCGUGGGGGAUAACUGCUCGAAAGAGCAGCUAAUACCGCAUACGACCUGAGGGUGAAAGCGGGGGAUCGCAAGACCUCGCGCGAUUGGAGCGGCCGAUAUCAGAUUAGGUAGUUGGUGGGGUAAAGGCCCACCAAGCCAACGAUCUGUAGCUGGUCUGAGAGGACGACCAGCCACACUGGGACUGAGACACGGCCCAGACUCCUACGGGAGGCAGCAGUGGGGAAUUUUGGACAAUGGGCGCAAGCCUGAUCCAGCCAUGCCGCGUGCGGGAAGAAGGCCUUCGGGUUGUAAACCGCUUUUGUCAGGGAAGAAAAGGCUUCUGCUAAUACCGGAGGCUCAUGACGGUACCUGAAGAAUAAGCACCGGCUAACUACGUGCCAGCAGCCGCGGUAAUACGUAGGGUGCAAGCGUUAAUCGGAAUUACUGGGCGUAAAGCGUGCGCAGGCGGUUAUGCAAGACAGAUGUGAAAUCCCCGGGCUCAACCUGGGAACUGCAUUUGUGACUGCAUGGCUAGAGUACGGUAGAGGGGGAUGGAAUUCCGCGUGUAGCAGUGAA
rnacentral:rRNA from 1 species